CGCAUAUUGCGCCCCUUGGUAUUCCGAGGGGUAUGCCUGUUCGAGCGUCAUUAUCACCCCUCAAGCUUUGGCUUGGUGUUGGACUGUCAGGUCUUGGGUUUCCCCAAGACCAGUCUCAAAGAUAGUGACGGCGUCCCAGAAAGAACCCGUACGAGGAGCUUCUAAUCAAGCAUGUACGCGGCACGAUUCUGCGGGCGACGGUCUUUACUUGAAUUUAUACCAGUGUUGACCUCGGAUCAGGUAGGAAUACCCGCUGAACUUAA
rnacentral:misc_RNA from 1 species